CAGGACGAACGCUGGCGGCAUGCCUAACACAUGCAAGUCGAACGGGGGUAGCAAUACCCUAGUGGCGAACGGGUGAGUAACACGUGAGCAACCUGCCCUUUACAACGGGAUACCACUAAGAAAUUAGUGCUAAUACGGUAUAUGACCACACCGAGGCAUCUCGGAGGGGUGAAAGCGAAAGCGGUAAAGGAUGGGCUCGCGUCCAAUUAGCUAGUUGGUGAGAUAGCAGCCCACCAAGGCGACGAUUGGUAGCCGACUUGAGAGAGUGAUCGGCCACACUGGAACUGAGACACGGUCCAGACUCCUACGGGAGGCAGCAGUGGGGAAUAUUGGGCAAUGGAGGAAACUCUUACCCAGCAAUGCCGCGUGAGUGAAUGAAGGUCUUCGGAUUGUAAAGCUCUUUGAUCGGGGACGAAUAAAUGACGGUACCCGAGGAACAAGCCCCGGCUAACUAUGUGCCAGCAGCGGC
rnacentral:rRNA from 1 species